rnacentral:rRNA from 1 species
CCCUUAGAUGUUCUGGGCCGCACGCGCGCUACACUGACGAAGUCAGCGAGCAUCUCCUUCGCCGAAAGGUGCGGGGAAUCUUGUGAAACUUUGUCGUGCUGGGGAUUGAUUUUUGAAAUUCUUGAUCAUCAACGAGGAAUUCCUAGUAAGCGCAAGUCAGCAGCUUGCGUUGAUUACGUCCCUGCCCUUUGUACACACCGCCCGUCGCUACUGCCAACUGAGAUGGGUCCUGAAUUGUUAGGAACGCCCGUCAAGGGGCCUACCCGGUCCCUAGUGCGGUGACGAGAAUAACUGUAAAUGGCAUAUCUUGUAGGGAGUAAAAGUCGUAACA